CGCGCUCCACCUCGACGCGGGCUUUGUCGUUGGUUAGCUGGUCCACCUGCCGGCGCAGCUCCCGCAUCUCCUCCUCGUAGAGGUCCCCCAGGCGCGACUUGCCUUGGCCCUUGAGCUGCUCGAGCUCGGCCAGCAGGAUCUUAUUCUGCUGCUCCAGGAAGCGCACCUUGUCGAUGUAGUUGGCGAAGCGGUCAUUCAGCUCCUGCAGCUCCACCUUCUCGUUGGUGCGGGUGUUCUUGAACUCGGUGUUGAUGGCGUCGGCCAGCGAGAAGUCCACCGAGUCCUGCAGGAGCCGCACCCCGGGCACGCUGCUCCGCAGGCGCACGGCAGAGGAGCGCGUGGCAUACACGCCGCCCGGGGACGAGGCGUAGAGGCUGCGGCUGGUGCUGGGGCGCAGCGCGCUGCCCAGGCUGUAGGUGCGGGUGGACGUAGUCACGUAGCUCCGGCUGGAGCUCGGCCGGCUCGCGGUGCCCGGGCCGCCGAACAUCCUGCGGUAGGAGGACGAGGACACGGACCUGGUGGACAUGGCUGCGGAGGGUGGCGAUGGCCUGGGCGGCGGCGGUGGCGCGGACUGGCUCCCGGAGAAGAGGCGAACGAGGGCGCGACAGCAAAGCUCCCUUUGGAUGACAUAGAUUUAUUACUUAGUAGUAUAUUAUGUAUUGGCUGUCCCACAUUUUGAAAUUUAAUGGACUCGUGGUGAUCAGAAUAAAAGAAGCCUUCGAUGUGAGGCCCAGGCAUUGAGUACCAUGUGUGCGAUUCACAAGCCUUGGCAUCUGAACAAUUUUUUGGAAGGAUCCAUCAGGACAACACGUCGGGGGUGUACUAGUGAAGUGAUUUUCCAAAUGUGCUACUCAGACCUGUAGCAUCAGCAUCACCGGAUA
rnacentral:lncRNA from 1 species